GUCUUCUAAGCAGUGCAGUGUAAGGUGCUGUUGCAUUCAAUAUGAAGGAGAUGGUAGGAGGAUGCUGUGUAUGCUCUGAUGAGUAUAAUUGGCCCGACAACCCGCUAGUUUAUUGUUUUGGGUGUACUGCUGCAGUUCAUCAAGCCUGUAGCAGGAUAAUUGGUGUUCCUACAGGAACCUGGUUCUGCCGGAAGUGUCGGAGUUCCAAAACCAAAACCAAAACCAAAGUU